GCUUUAUAGAUCUAUCCUCUAACAUAUCCAUCUGCUGUCUUUAACACAGGCUGGACAUCUUUGGAUCUUAAAAUAAUCAAGAUUCAGUUCUCACUAUGCCAUAUCUCAUAUGGUGUGGUAGGAAGAGAUCUAAAGAGACCUAAUUUUAUAGAAACAAAGCAUGUCCCUAAAGAAACAAAAUAAAUUAAUGAAUUCCAUC
rnacentral:lncRNA from 1 species